rnacentral:lncRNA from 1 species
CUACAACAACAACAACAACAACAACAAACCCAGUGUAUUCCCACCUAGUGGGGUCUGGGGGGGGUAAGAUGUACGCAGUCCAUACCUCUACCUCUGAUGAAGUAGAAAGGUUGUUUUCGAUAGACCCCCGGCUCAAGGCACGAGAUACCACACAAACACAUAGUAAAGCAUAGAAGCAGAUUACAUAACAUAAAUACGGCACCCAUAAGUAAUAUAAAACAGAGGAAAGCAG